rnacentral:rRNA from 1 species
GACGUAGGUGGCGAACGUUAUCUGGAAUUAUUGGGCGUAAAGGGUGCGUAGGUGGCCUGACAAGUUAUCAGUGGCAAAUCGAGGCUCAACCUCGUGGAAACUGGUAAUACUGUUCGGCUUGAGUACAGGAGAGGUUAACGGAACUCUAUGUGGAGCGGUAAAAUGCACAGAUAUAUAGAAGAACAUCAAUAAAGGCGAAGGCAGUUAACUAUUCUGUUACUGACGCUGAGGCACGAAAGCGUGGGGAGCAAAACGG